GAAGGGUGGUGGAUAUGGUGGUGGAGGAGGAGGCUAUGAUGGUUACAAUGAAGGAGGAAAUUUUGGUGGAGGUAACUAUGGUGGUGGUGGAAACUAUAAUGACUUUGGAAAUUAUAGUGGACAGCAACAAUCAAAUUAUGGACCCAUGAAGGGGGGCAGUUUUGGUGGAAGAAGCUCAGACAGUCCCUAUGGUGGUGGCUAUGGAUCUGGAGGUGGAAGUGGUGGAUAUGGUAGCAGAAGGUUUUAAAAUAAAACAGAAACGGCUACAGUUCUUAGCAGGAGAGUG
rnacentral:lncRNA from 1 species